GCCGAGGUAGCCAAGUUGGUCACGGCGGGGCUCUGAAAAAGCUCAGAUCGCAGUUCGAUUCUGCGCCUCGGCACCA
rnacentral:tRNA from 1 species